UGGUUAUGGCCUCGGUGCAGGGAA
rnacentral:siRNA from 1 species